CACGAAGAUGGCCAGAGGCACGUGUCGUGCCUCGUAAUAAUCUCUUUAUUGCUUUUCUCGUUUUUCUGGUGCUUACAAACGACGCAGGCUGAUGCAUAUAUAUAGGUGCAGCAGCCGACUCCAAACAAUCGACCGCGACUCGUAUUUCCUAAUUGCUUUUAGUCUUUGACUCGUCCACGGCAUGCAAGCCGCCGGAUGCAAAGUACUGCUAGCUUCUAUUUAACUAGGACACGGACUAUUACACGGAAAACAAACCGGCUUAUACUAAGCUUUCCUAUUUCUACUCUUAACACGUUUGGAUUACUAAC
rnacentral:lncRNA from 1 species